AGUGGGAUAGCUGGGUCAAAUGGUGGUUCCAUUCCAAGUUUUCUGAGGAAUUUCCAUACUGCUUUCCACAGUGGUUGCACCAAUUUGCACUCCCGCCAGCAAU
rnacentral:pre_miRNA from 1 species